ACCAACGUCAGGAGUUGGCGUAAUAUAUUCAGGUCAUUCGCGAUAGAGAAUCUACCCCCUUCUUUCUGAUUCCCCUCAUCCCUUCCUCUAGUAGCUAGCUGGGGCCAGCUUACAAGCGGCAAUCGUCCAGCGUCAGAUUGGUACUGUAACAGCAAAGGAAAAGGAACCAUACGAGGUGCGCGCGCCAUGUUCUUAGGUCUGCACGUUUAGCGACGAUUUAUAUUUCAGGAAAAUAAGCGCGUGUACCAGAGUAGGUGUUUAUUCUGUACUCGCAACCGUCGGACACUUGUUUGACGCUCAACCUACAGUCAGGCAUUGAUGGCAUGGGUUUAGAAGUCCAGUCCGUCCAAUCCUUCUCUCUGGAUAAGAAGGGGGAUUGAUUUAUGAAAUGAGUUGCCGUCGGCAGUAGUGGAGGCCGGCACUUUACAAAAGUUUAAAAGGAGGAAUUGAUGAUUUCCUGAAAAACAAAGGAUGUGUUUGAGUUUUCACUUUUUCUCAAGGAUGGAUGUAUUGGGACAGACUAGAAGGACCAAAUUGUCGCUUGUUAUCGUGAUACAUAUAUAAGUUUUGAGCAUAGUAAUUACGUUGGAUAGAAAUUAAGUGUAUAUAUAUAUAUAUUUAUAUUUCUUUUAGCUAUUAGGUCUCAUAAUCGUUUGUUUUGUUUUUGUAUUUUUGUAAUUAAUGUUAGCUAGGUGGUUGUAUUAAUUUGGGCCUCUGGAUAUAUACAUUUUUUGUUCAUUUAAAUUAACUAUUUACCAUAUUAUACAUACAACAGGCACUUUGGAAUUAAGAACAAUUUUGUGAUUUAAUAAAUGAAUAUUUUAUGUUAUGGCUAAGUAGCCAAUAAUUAUAUAAAAUCGUGAUCAAGUUACCCUGCAAUUUUAAACCUUCUGUUGUUGUUAUGUUGAAAGUACCUUUACAAAUAGCCUCUCUUGAAAAUCGAAUUACUAGUUAUGAUUUCAAAAACUAAUACCGACUUUUAUACUUAAACUUAAUUAAUGAGAAGAAUUUACUUAGAUGAAAUAAAAAUUACCUUUUCAGGUUUAUCACAAAUUACUAGGGUCAUUUUUAAAAUGUAGUCUAUGUAAUUGUCACAUAGAACACAUCAGUUAGAGUUCUCACAAUCAUCUAUAUAAAGGUGACAUUAUUGGUUGAACAGGUGUGGAGAAUAAGCAUGUAUUGUACAGAACUUUUACAGAAUGUUUUAAAACGUCAUCCAGUUAGUUGCUUUAUGCGUGGUUUGUUGGUUAGUUUGACCCAAUUUUAUGUCCCAGUUACGCAGAGCAUUUACAGUACAGCUACACGACCUAACGCACGUGCUCUACCUCACACAGCCAAUGGCUCGUCUAGAAACUUCAUUAGCGCACCUGCAGCAGUCUUGAUCUAUGUUUCCAAGAUUACUUGUGUCAAGAGUUUUUCAUCGCGUGUUGUUUCUCACCGUUCGUUGUUGUCACAUCAUUGUGGUAAUUUGUUCAUUUCACACAAGUUUUAACGUUUAAUUUAACACAGGUUUUUAACGUUUAUUUUAUAGCUUUUCACUCGAUGUUCUAUUAUUUUUGGUGAUUUUGGUUCAGCCAUGUUUUAAUGUAUAAAAUACUAUUGAAGUAUUUAUGUCCGAUUAUUAAAAUAAAUACCGAAUAUUUAAGUUAUUUACAAGUUUGUUUACACAGUAGAUAUGUCUUGAUUCCUGUAAAUAAACCUGUC
rnacentral:misc_RNA from 1 species